GGUUGGAUGGCCGAGCGGUCUAAGGCGCCAGACUAAGGAUCAGCUUCAAUUUGAAGUGAAGCUUACUGAUUUAUAUUGGUAAUCUGGUCCUCCGGGGCGUGGGUUCGAAUCCCACUCCAAUCA